rnacentral:rRNA from 1 species
GACGAACGCUGGCGGCGUGCUUAACACAUGCAAGUCGAACGGUGAAGCGAGUGCUUGCACUCGUGGAUCAGUGGCGAACGGGUGAGUAACACGUGAGUAACCUGCCCAUCACUCUGGGAUAAGCACUGGAAACGGUGUCUAAUACUGGAUACGACCAACCCUUGCAUGGGGUGUUGGUGGAAAGAUUUAUCGGUGAUGGAUGAACUCGCGGCCUAUCAGCUUGUUGGCGGGGUAAUGGCCCACCAAGGCGACGACGGGUAGCCGGCCUGAGAGGGUGACCGGCCACACUGGGACUGAGACACGGCCCAGACUCCUACGGGAGGCAGCAGUGGGGAAUAUUGCACAAUGGGCGAAAGCCUGAUGCAGCGACGCCGCGUGAGGGAUGACGGCCUUCGGGUUGUAAACCUCUUUCAGCAGGGAAGAAGCGAAAGUGACGGUACCUGCAGAAGAAGCACCGGCUAACUACGUG